UGACGAAGUUAUAGCUUAGUCCUUGGUACUUGGGGGUUGAGAGAGAGAGAGAGGGAAGCAGAGAGGAGAACAGAAACAGUGGAAGAAAGAAACGUUUCGCUCGAUUUUCCAUGAAAACAGAACAAAGUCGGGUAAAGCAAAAGCAAGAUUGAGAGAGAAAAUGAUGGGCAGUGUAGAUUUGUCAAUAUAGUUGUAGCUGUAGCUGUAGCUGUAGCAGAAGAAGAGUAGAUCCGAAAUGGGUUGGGGAUUGGGGGCCAUAUUUGAAGGAAUAGUGGUGGUAGGAUCACUGUGUCUAUUAGGAUGGGCAGGUCUUUGGUUCUUAAACAGAAGACUUUACAAAGAAUACGAAGAGAAAAGAGCAUUGGUUCAGAUCAUUUUCAGUGUUGUUUUUGCUUUCUCUUGCAAUCUCCUUCAACUUGUCCUCUUCGAAAUCAUCCCUCUCCUCUCCAAACAGGCAAGAUGGAUAAAUUGGAAGGUGGAUCUGUUUUGUUUAAUAUUGUUACUUGUCUUCAUGUUGCCGUAUUAUCACUGCUACUUGAUGCUUCGCAACAACGGCGUGAGGAGGGAAAGGGCUGCACUCGGAGCCAUCAUAUUCUUGUUGGCCUUUCUCUAUGCUUUUUGGCGCAUGGGCGUUCACUUCCCCAUGCCUUCGCCUGAAAAAGGUUUCUUCACAAUGCCUCAGCUAGUCAGCAGAAUUGGGGUUAUUGGUGUCACUGUUAUGGCUGUUUUGUCUGGUUUUGGAGCUGUAAAUUUACCCUACAGUUAUUUAUCUCUCUUCAUUAGAGAAAUUGGGGAUUCAGAGAUCAAAGCCUUGGAAAGACAAUUAAUGCAAUCCAUUGAGACUUGUGUUGCGAAGAAAAAGAAGAUUGUCCUUUCUCAAAUGGAGAUGGAACGAAUCCAGGGAUCGGAGGAGAAGUUAAAUGCUAGAUCUUUCUUCAAACGGAUAGUUGGCACAGUUGUACGAUCCGUGCAAGAUGAUCAAAAGGAGCAAGAUAUCAAAAACAUGGAAGCAGAGGUUGAAGCCUUAGAAGAGCUUUCAAAGCAGCUAUUUUUGGAAAUAUAUGAGCUUCGCCAAGCUAAGGAGGCAGCUGCUUUUUCUCGAACUUGGAGGGGCCACAUGCAGAAUUUACUUGGCUAUGCAUGUUCUGUUUAUUGUGUGUACAAAAUGAUUAAGUCUUUGCAAAGUGUUAUAUUCAAGGAGGCCGGCUCAGUUGAUCCUGUGACAAGGACUAUUAGCUUAUUUUUGCAGUUCUUUGACAUAGGAAUUAAUGCUGCAUUAUUAUCGCAGUACAUUUCCCUACUAUUCAUUGGCAUCUUGGUCGUCAUAUCAGUUCGAGGAUUUUUAACUAAUCUCAUGAAGUUCUUCUUUGCCGUUUCCAGAGUUGGGAGUGGAUCUUCAAGCAAUGUUGUACUUUUUCUGUCUGAAAUUAUGGGAAUGUACUUUGUCUCUUCUAUACUUUUGAUAAGAAAAAGCUUAGCAACUGAGUACAGGACAACCAUAACAGCUGUCUUGGGUGGAGAAAUUCAGUUUGACUUCUAUCACCGGUGGUUUGAUGCGAUCUUUGUAGCAAGUGCUUUCCUUUCUCUUCUUUUGCUUUCUGCACAUUACACGUCUCGCCAGGCUGACAAACACCCGAUUGAUUGAUACAUGCGUUGCGUAAUGUCAGAAACGAAGAGUCCUUGGUGGGAUGAUCUUGACGUCUUAGAUUUCAGCAGUUUUGCAUGAAGGGGCUCUAAAAGUUUCUGAUGUUCUUCUAUCUUCAAUGAUAUUAUCAAAGCAAAUUGAUGGAAUAGGGGCUAGCAUGCAAGAAUACAUGUGUAUUUUGGCAUUUCAAGAUGAUACCGGCUAGUAGAUAUUCUAUGGGUAGCGGGUUACUCUGGCAGAUUCCACUUAUUGCUAAAGGGCCUAAAUUGUGACUGGAAAAGGAGGUGGAGGCGUGUAGAUCACCCCAGCCAAGGAUGUUCCUUGGAUUCUGCAUUAGCUGUGUACCACAACUUGUCUAAUUAGAAAUAGAAAAUGUGCGUAUGCACGCAUCAAAAGAAAAGGGCAAUAGGACAAUCACCAUUGGAGUGACGGUUAAAAGGAUUUUAAGGCGCUCGAGACAGAUUUUGUUUUCAAGGUCAACAGCAGCAGCUCUGUACCACCGUAGGAUUUUGGUAUGCCAUUUGUUGUGUGCAUAUGAUACAUGUGUAAUGGGAAAUUAACGUCGUGGUCAACUUUAUGAAUGUUUGUGUCUGAUUAUUAUAUUAUUCCAUGAAUGAAAAUGACACCUUGUGGCUCAACGAUCUGGGUCACUGCCAAUCCUGAGCCGUGACUUUUCAGCUUGUAGUCAAUGAUGGUGUUUAUGAAAAGUCUGAUUUAUUUA